rnacentral:rRNA from 1 species
AAAUGCGUAGAUAUUGAGAGGAACACCAGUUGCGAAGGCGGAUCUCUGGACGGUUCCUGACGCUGAGGCACGAAAGCUGGGGUAGCGAAGAGGAUUAGAUACCCUCGUAGUCCCAGCCGUAAACGGUGCACACUUGCUGUGGGCGGAUUCGACCCCGUCCGUGGCGAAGCUAACGCGAUAAGUGCGCCGCCUGGGGAGUACGGGCGCAAGAUUAAAACUCAAAGAAAUUGACGGGGGCCUGCACAAGCGGUGGAGUAUGUGGCUUAAUUCGAUGCAACGCGAAGAACCUUACCUGGCCUUGACAUGUAGUGGACCGGGUGCGAAAUCACCCUUUCCUUCGGGACUGCUACACAGGUGCUGCAUGGCUGUCGUCAGCUCGUGUCGUGAGAUGUUGGGUUAAGUCCCGCAACGAGCGCAACCCCCGUGUUCUGUUGCCACCCGGAUGAGAAUCCGGAGCACUCUGGACAGACUGCCUGGUUUCAACCAGGAGGAAGGUGGGGAUGACGUCAAGUCAGUAUGGCCCUUACGGCCAGGGCUGCACACGUACUACAAUGCCUGAUAUAAUGGGAAGCAAGACCGCGAGGUGGAGCAAAUCCUCAAAAUCAGGCCCAGUUCAGAUUGUAGGCUGCAACUCGCCUACAUGAAGGAGGAAUCGCUAGUAAUGCCGUAUCAGCUACGACGGCGUGAAUACGUUCCCAGGCCUUGUACACACCGCCCGUCACAUCAUGAAAGUCGAUUGUACCCGAAGUCGCCGCGUUAACCGCAAGGAGACAGGUGCCGAAGGUAUGGUUGGUAAUUGGGAUGAAGUCGUAACAAGGUAGCCGUAGGGGAACCUGUGGCUG